rnacentral:rRNA from 1 species
CCUCCGACAAGCACCGCAGCACUCGCGACGCAAGGCACAGAAGCACAGGCUGUCUUGGCCGCCGCCGCCGCCGUCUCGUCGCCGCUCGGAAACGCCGAUGCCCAUGAAGACAACAAGUACGACGAGGGGUCCGUCGGCCCCGAGAUCUCCUGCCGCCACUCUUAGGAGGCGGUCUCCCGCGAGGUCCGCACGCAGGUCGACGCCAUCCACCACUGCUUCUCGUGACGCCACGCCGACCGCGCCUCCAGCGUCCUCGCGGAGAUCGCAAAAAUGGUAAUCCCCGAACCCCACACGGGCC